UUUCCCUCCAAGAAACCCCAUACAUGCCAUGCUUUGCCUUUGCUUUGCUGCCAGAUUGUUUUUCUACAUCUCUGGACACAGUCUCCUUCGUGUUAUUUCUAGUAUCUUUGUGUAUCUACGUCCGUUUGGGGUUUUGGACCUUCACCUACUGCUCCUUUGUUUGGACUUACCUCUCUGGUUCUGGGACGCUUCCUGUAUCACCCUCGAGAAAGACAUUUCUAUGUCGUCAAGUGAAGAAACUCGCCGUCUGACCUGCGCUAACCUGGCAGCAGAGAGAAGUGAAGCGUCUGAAUUUACAAGAAAACCGUAAUCUGGUGGCGUUAGAAUGAAUUAGUUUUAACCACAGUGGAGGUAAAGCGUGUGCAAUGUACGCCGCUGAAAUCCGAGGCUGCAGCUGGAACGUACCCGCUGAUCUCAGAUGGCUGCGAAGCGACUUAAUCGCCUGAGAGUGAAGGCUGUCGCGGCUGACAUAUGCUGUAAAUAUCACAGCCUUCCAGCAUUACACUGCUAUAAUCUGAUUAAAAUUGUAUAUUGCACAGCAUAUGGAAUGUGUCUCCUUGCCUGAAGAAUGAGUAAGACGGAUGAGGAAAUACAUAAAG